AACGAACGCUGGCGGCAUGCCUAACACAUGCAAGUCGAACGAGACCUUCGGGUCUCGUGGCGCACGGGUGCGUAACGCGUGGGAACCUGCCCUUAGGUUCGGAAUAACUCCCCGAAAGGGGUGCUAAUACCGGAUAAUGUCUUCGGACCAAAGAUUUAUCGCCUUUGGAUGGGCCCGCGUUGGAUUAGCUAGUUGGUAGGGUAAAAGCCUACCAAGGCGACGAUCCAUAGCUGGUCUGUGAGGAUGAUCAGCCACACUGGGACUGAGACACGGCCCAGACUCCUACGGGAGGCAGCAGUGGGGAAUAUUGGACAAUGGGCGAAAGCCUGAUCCAGCAAUGCCGCGUGAGUGAUGAAGGCCUUAGGGUUGUAAAGCUCUUUUACCCGGGAUGAUAAUGACAGUACCGGGAGAAUAAGCUCCGGCUAACUCCGUG
rnacentral:rRNA from 1 species